rnacentral:lncRNA from 1 species
GCUCACUGCAACGUCUGCCUCCCAGGUUCAAGCGAUUCUGGGGAGGGGAGGAGGAGGGAAGCAAGGAGAGAGGAACGCAGGGAGCAGAGCCUGACCUGGUCACAGGGGUCUGGGAAAGACAGAGGCUUUGUUAGAGCCGGCAGCUGAGGGCCGAGGCCGAGCAGGGGUUAGGCCAGCACAGGACGAAAAGGAAGAAAGUUCCAGGUGGAGUCUGGUGGAGAAAGACCGACCUGGAAGGCACCAGCAUGUGCACGUGGCAACUGAGGUCGAGGACGUGCCUGAGAGAGAGGAGGAAGGUGCCCUGCGGACCGGGUAGGGUGCGGAGGUCGGGAAUGGAGAACGGUCGUUGGGCAGGUCCGGGUACCCGUAGCCAGAACCACCCGGGUGUGCGCAGCUCGGCCAGGCCCCGCCUCCCGGCGUCCCCGCCCCCUGCUGGGCCUCUCUCCGCAGCCGCGAGACCCGCGCUUGGCGCAUAGGCCGGUUCUAAUUUACAAGAACACCGCGGCCUGAGGCCGGAGAGUCCCUUCAACCCGGGAGGCGGCGGCUGCAGGGAGCCGAGACGGCGCCAUUGCCCUCCAGCCUGGGCAAAAAGAGCGAAACUCCGUCUCAAAAAAAAAAAAACAUGGCCGAAACCAGGAAGCUGCGCGAUGGCGCCACGGCCCCUCUUCUCCCGGCCUGUGUCCGGAAGGUUUCCCUCCGAGGCGCCCCGGCUCCCGCAAGCGGAGGAGAGGGCGGGACGUGCCGGGGCCGGAGCUCAGAGGCCCUGGGGCCGCUCUGCUCUCCCGCCAUCGCAAGGGCGGCGCUGACCUGAGGCCUCCCCGCAAAGGUCCCCGAGGCGGCGGCGGCGGCGGGCUGUGAGAACCGCAGAAGAACGCUGGGCGCGCAGCGACCCGUCCACCCCCGCGAGGAGAGACUUCCACAGAGGCAGCGUUUCCACAGCCCAAAGCCACGUUUCUAGGGUGAUGCAGCCCCAGUAAGUUCCUGGCGGGGAAGCUCACGGCUGUCAAAAGAACUCUUCGCUCCAGCCGGCGCACGAAGGGGAGGAGGGCAGGAGGCUGCCGCCCGCACAGGUCAUCUGAUCACGUCGCCCGCCCUAGUCUGCUUUUGUGAAUCUCCACUUUGUUCAACCCCCACCCGCCGUCUCUCCCUCCCUGCGCCUUCCCUCUAACCUUAAAGACCCAGCUACCUCUACGCAAAUGGUAGCUACCUCUGCGCAGGUGGAAGUUGAGUUCGGUUCACGCGGGACCCUCUUCCCUGUGGCAAGCUGCUGAAGGAGACCUGCUGUUACUGCUUUAGCUGCUGUUCUGCUUAAUCUCAGACAGCUGGAAGGUUGCUCCGGAUCUCGCCAUCUGGCCUGCGUUCAAUCAGCAGAAGCUUCCUGGAGGAGCAGGAGGAGGCACUGUGCUCGCAUCACAUACCAGUGGCCAGAAGUUGGCUUCAGGGAAGCUCAGGAAAUAGGAUGCGAGAAGCCAUGAGACCUCCCCAAACUCUGCAGUAACAGAGUCAACAAGACAAUGGCUUAAAGAUGGAGAGACCAGUUGAUCGGUCACACAAGCUGUUCCACGAUAAUUCUUGUGUCAGAAGGGGAGGCUGACUACCAGGACCACUGGCCCCACUUCCAGCCCCUCCAUUCUGAGUACACUUCAGAGGGCUCUGGCAGGGUGAGGGGGUCUUGGUGGUGCCACAGAGAGUAAAGGUCUAGCACACCCAUUGUGGAGAUAUUUCAUGGGGACAACCCAGUGACUUCACUUGAAGUAAAGUGGGAUUUUCCAACCUUGAGAUUCUUAUUUUCUUUGCACGUGCCCAGCUUCCUUUCAAGUCUCUGGCCAAUGCAAUGUGAGCAGAAGUGAAGGGGCAACUUUCAGGUGAUGACUUGGAAAAGAAAGCUUAGUCCUCUGCUUCUCCUGUCACCCGAAAGAGAAACAGAGGCUUGUCUUGUUGAAGCCAGUGUGUUUGGUGUCUUUUUGUAUAGUGGCUUAGACAGUGGCCUAACUAGAAGACCAAGGCUCAAAGGAACACAUUUUGAGCUUCUCCACAGUUUGAGAACCUCUACAUUACCUACACCAAGCCUUCCCCAGCACUCAAUUUAUGGAAGACCAUUUCUCUUCUCAUGACACAUGUCCUCAUGUUGCUUUGGCCUGUUUUAAAGCUUUCUCAACUCCAUCUCAAUAAAGAAAUCUGCAGCUUUGUUGGAUGAGAG